rnacentral:rRNA from 1 species
AUUGAACGCUGGCGGCAUGCUUUACACAUGCAAGUCGAACGGUAACAGGCCGCAAGGUGCUGACGAGUGGCGCACGGGUGAGUAAUGCAUCGGAACGUGCCCAGUCGUGGGGGAUAACUACUCGUAAGAGUAGCUAAUACCGCAUACGAUCUAUGGAUGAAAGCGGGGGACCGUAAGGCCUCGCGCGAUUGGAGCGGCCGAUGUCAGAUUAGGUGGUUGGUGGGGUAAAGGCUCACCAAGCCAACGAUCUGUAGCUGGUCUGAGAGGACGACCAUCCACACUGGGAGUGAGACACGGCCCAGACUCCUACGGGAGGCAGCAGUGGGGAAUUUUGGACAAUGGGCGCAAGCCUGAUCCAGCAAUGCCGCGUGCAGGAAGAAGGCCUUCGGGUUGUAAACUGCUUUUGUACGGAACGAAACGGCUCUGGUUAAUACCCGGGGCUAAUGACGGUACCGUAAGAAUAAGCACCGGCUAACUACGUG